CUCCGCUGGUGGAACAAGGUGGGCAGCGAGUGUGUCCGCCAACCUGAUGCAUAACAGGGAGGAGGAGGAGGAGAAGCCGGAGUGACAGGAGGAAGGUUGCAUGGAGACCAAUUGGGCGGACGAGCAGAAGCAGAAUGCCAGGUCCGUUGAGAAUAUUUACUUGAGUUGUCUUCCCAUGAAGCAAGACGGCGGCACCGGUGACAAUCCGCCCUCUGCUGCCGUGGUCCACAGCGCCGACUUAUGCAAGAUCUCCGCCGGCUCGAUCCCACCGGGGAAACAGGCGCACAUGUCCCAGAUCUGUCCGCGACCGUUCACUGUCACCUGGCACGUCAAAACCAAAUCUUUUUUUCCUCUGUGUGAAACACGAGUGGAAUUCACGCUUGUAGAAAACAAAAUGACCGACAGCACCCACCUGAGACAGAACUGAGAGCCAGCCAGCGGGAUUGAUGUAGUCGGACGCGUUGCUCGACGGGGUGAUGAUUGCUGUGUGCAACGUGGCCACGGCGGCCACACAAUGCGGGAAGCCCCACUGGGAGAGGAAUGAGCGUGCCGACUCUUCCAGCUCGGGCUCGGCGGGAGGCCGCAGGUAGUCGGCGCGGAGCAGCGCCACGAUGCUGUGACACAUGUCCCGCACGCACUUGCACACGGUGGACUUGCCCACUCCAAACAGAGCGCUGAUGGUGCGGUACUCCACGUUGGAUGCCAGGCGCCACAGCGCUACCGCCACGCGUUUCUCCACAGGCAGCGCCAAACGGAAGCUGGUGUCCUGACGCGUCAGGCGGGAACGCAGCUUGUCGCAAAUGUAGAAGAAGGUCUCCCGGCUCAUCCGGAACUUGUCCAGCCAGUCGGAGGGCUGGAAUUCCGUCAUCACAACUCGCUCCCACCAGUCCGUGCUGGGGACGGUGGUCCAAGGGCGGGUGCGGAUGUGAGAGUUGGAGCGAAUGCCCCCUGCUAUCAUCAUCUGUGAAGACCAAAUACAAAUCAAGUGAUUUUUGAGGAGGUCCUAAAUCUUGCCGACAGAUAGGCCUGUAACGAAUUACUAUAUGGACUUCGUUAAGUGUUUUUCCAAGAU